rnacentral:misc_RNA from 1 species
CGGGAAUGUAACAUCAGCAUAACACUUCCUACCUCUAAAGAAUUCUCUUUCAGAUGCAAAAAGAGAAGCGAAGGGAGGCGUUCUUUCAGGUAUCAGUAUCAAAGCAUAUAACCCUAACUUCACAGACCACCCAAGUUGGCGAUACGGCCCAUGACAUACAGUCUGUCAUAUAAAGUCAAUCCUUUCAAGUCAAAAAUAGAUCCAAAGACUAAUGAUGGCAGACUAAGAAGCUGAUCAUAAGGCCAUUCUUGAGAAAAAUGAAAAACAAAUUAUAUGUUCAAAUGAUGGGCUGAAGUUG